rnacentral:rRNA from 1 species
AUGCCUCCUAUCUAUGAUGAUUAUUGUGAUGACACGUAUGCUAUAAAGAAUAAUGAUAACCAUGAAACUUGUCAUCUUGAUCUUAAUUUUCAAUCACAUGAUAGUUGUUUUGUUGAGUUUUCUCCCACUACUAUUACGAAUGAGAAGAAUUUUGCUUAUGUGGGGAGUAAUAAAAUUUCUAUGCUUGUAGAUCAUGAAAAGAAUGCUUUAGGUGCUGGUUAUAUUGUUGAAUUCAUUCAUGAUGCUACUGAAAGUUAUUAUGAGGGAGGAAUGUAUGCUUGUAGGAAUUGCAAUAAUAUCAAGUUUCCUCUCUAUGUGCUUAAAAUCUUGAAGUUAUGCUUGUUUUACCUUUCUAUGCAAGUUGAUUCUUGUUCCCAUAAGUUGUUUGCUCACAAAAUCCCUAUGCAUAAGAAGUGGGUUAGACUUAAAUGUGCUAGUAAUAUUCUUCAUGAUGCUCUCUAUAUGUUUCAAUUCUUAUCUCUUAUGUGA